AUCCCAGAUAAGCUUUUCUUGUGUUUGUCUGAUUCAUGGGAGGCCGACAUGGAUGAUGGAAGUUUCGCUGAUAGCGCCUUUUUGUAUUUUGGGGAGGUGAUUUAAUAGUAGCUUUCCAUACAAAA